UAGUGGAAUGAUUUGUGGGUAGUAGGAGGGGAUCUUAAAACCUAAAAUUUUUGGCGGUUUUUUAGUCUGGUUAGAGGAAUCUGUUCUGUAAUGGAUAUUCCGCUUUAAGUUUAACUCUGGGAGUUGUUUAUAUACCGCCGUCGUAAAGUGAGCUUUUUAGAGCUUAUUGGAGGGCUCGGGGGUCUGGUUUGUUGGUUAGACUUUGGGGAAAGAUGUCAGGUCAAGGUGUAGCUGUAAUACUGGAGGGUGAGAUGGAUUACAAUCUUAGAUUGGGUUAGAGAAAUGGAGAUCGGUGAGAAAUUAUUACUGAUAAUGAAAGUGGAUUUAAAAGUAAGAUUUUUAAUUAAAAUUGGAUUUUGAAAAGAGCUCUAAGAAAUGU
rnacentral:rRNA from 1 species